UUUCCCAGUUGACUACCACGUUUUCUCCCAGUAGAUUAUAGUGGCUAUGCUUAUGGGAUAGAUGAAAGGUGCCAUGAUCUGAAGGGGGAGGGCUUUUCAGUGUCUUCCCCCCUAUAUGAAAUGGCUGAACAUAAAACC
ensembl:snoRNA Gm26130 small nucleolar RNA SNORA29